rnacentral:rRNA from 1 species
GAUGAACGCUGGCGGCGUGCCUAAUACAUGCAAGUCGAGCGAAUGGAUUAAGAGCUUGCUCUUAUGAAGUUAGCGGCGGACGGGUGAGUAACACGUGGGUAACCUGCCCAUAAGACUGGGAUAACUCCGGGAAACCGGGGCUAAUACCGGAUAACAUUUUGAACCGCAUGGUUCGAAAUUGAAAGGCGGCUUCGGCUGUCACUUAUGGAUGGACCCGCGUCGCAUUAGCUAGUUGGUGAGGUAACGGCUCACCAAGGCAACGAUGCGUGGCCGGCCUGAGAGGGUGAUCGGCCAAACCGGGACUGAGACACGGCCCAGACUCCUACGGGAGGCAGCAGUAGGGAAUCUUCCGCAAUGGACGAAAGUCUGACGGAGCAACGCCGCGUGAGUGAGGAAGGCUUUCGGGUCGUAAAACUCUGUUGUUAGGGAAGAACAAGUGCUAGUUGAAUAAGCUGGCACCUUGACGGUACCUAACCAGAAAGCCACGGCUAACUACGUGCCAGCCGCCGCUGUAA